AUUGAACGCUGGCGGCAGGCCUAACACAUGCAAGUCGAGCGAGCGGCGGACGGGUGCGUAAUGUCUGGGAAACUGCCUGAUGGAGGGGGAUAACUACUGGAAACGGUAGCUAAUACCGCAUCCCAUCAGAUGUGCCCAGAUGGGAUUAGCUAGUAGGUGGGGUAACGGCUCACCUAGGCGACGCUCCCUAGCUGGUCUGAGAGUCUGAGCAGACACACUGGAACUGAGACACGGUCCAGACUCCUACGGGAGGCAGCAGGGGGGAAUAUGGCACAAGGGGCGCAAGCCUGAGGCAGCCAUGCCGCGUGGGUGAAGAAGGCCUUCGGGGUGUAAAGCACUUUCAGCGGGGAGGCGUUACCCGCAGAAGAAGCACCGGCUAACUCCGUGCCAGCAGCCGCGGUAAUUC
rnacentral:rRNA from 1 species